GCGGGUAAAGCCAAAUGGAUGAGGCGAAGGUCUGCAAAACCUUUAAGCGUCGGUUCGAUUCCGACUGCCCGCU
rnacentral:tRNA from 1 species